rnacentral:lncRNA from 1 species
GCUAAUAUUGACUCAAGAGAUCCUGGGUAUUAGAAUUCUAAACAGAACACACACGCUGUGAUAUCAAUUGCAGGCGGUUGAUGUUAAAUAUCUUCCAUUUUAUAUGACGUAGUGGAGGGGAACAUCUUUUUCGAGUUUCAAACUAAUAAAGACAAGCCCUCUUUGACCUGCUUCUAAAAGUUAUUUAGUUUCUUUAUCAUUGCCUAAGCGAGUUAUGUUUUGCAUCUUCUUUGCGUCUAUAUUUAUGAGGAUAUGUGCACCUAAGUAGCGUCAUGGCAGAAAUCUACUUUUGCCACCCUGUUAAAGAGAUCUUUCUUGUCCACCCAGUAUGUUAAAUCUGUUUAAAAAGAAUAUUUUCCAAGAUCAUACAUUUUCUCUUCUGAGUCUAAGCUUUGCACUAGUUUGCUAAUUUAGUUAUUAAAGCAAGGAAAACAUAAGACGGUAGAUCUGAAGUUCAUGACACAUUAUCACACUGAAGAUUUGGAUUUGGACAAAGAUAUAAGAUAUAAGCUGAUUUAUGGCUGCAAUUGAAGUGAUAGAUGGAACUAGCUUGGGAUUGAUGGGAUUGAGGCGCAGUUGUUGAUGUUGUCAUGUUAAAGUGGCAGAUGGUUUGGGCAAAAGUAGAUCACAGAUAAGGAUGUAAAAGUGGACUAGUUCUCAAGCAUAACUCCACAAGGUACUAUGCACACCAUAGAAAAUCAACUAUGCACUUUACAAUAGAUAUCAGUUCUUUUGAUUUUGGUUUUGUGUUGUCAGGUUAAGAUUGUAAAGUGCUUCAUGCAGCAUAUCUCUGUAGAAAUCUCUUUUAAUCAAGUGGCAGGACUCUGUUCUUUGAGCUUCCUUGAACAGGUUUGAAUCUAUUGCAAUUUUGCUAACAAAAUCCCAAUGCUGUCAUCUGUGUAGCAUCCGUUGAAUAAACACCAAGUCAUAUUCCUGGUGAUUUUCAAUCACUAUUCUUGUGAUGCUAAGUCACUUCACAUCCUUUUUUCUUUCUCUAUCCCUUUCAAACGACCAAUGGAAAAGACGAGGGCAGGGAAGACACAUUUGGAUUAUGAGCUACCCGUUACUGUUUUGCCUAUAUCCUUCUUUGUUCCUAAACCCACUUCUAUUGAGCUUUUAUUCAACUAAAAGCUCUGUUGCACUAAAUUUUUGUUUUUGGCUUGAUAUGUCACCCUUUUUUGCAAAUUUUACAGGUCAACCAUUACAUUGGGAGAGGCCAUCUUUUUAACCACAACAUUAUCU